GCAGGGCGCUAUUAUCAUCAAUUCUCAAAAGAGACACCGUUGUCCCUAUCAAGAGACUGAAAUUGAUGGAGACACUUUAAUGAACCUAACUGAGACUAUGAAAGCUUAAAUAUUCCCAAAAAUGAAGGAUUAAGUCAAAUUCAUAAGAUUACAAGAAAACCUAAAGACUGAGAUGCCAGCAAGACCAAACACACCACGAGUAUGAAGCAGGUGCACACAACAAGGUGUCUUCAGCCCUUGUUACCAAAUACCAGUUCUUGAGAGAAAAGACUGGCAGAGGAUGUGCUUAAAACAAAUUCAAGAAAAAAGAAAGAUCACCUUUGAUUAAUGUUGAAGAAAUAAAUGAAAUGUGUUGCAGGUUCA
ensembl:lncRNA